rnacentral:rRNA from 1 species
GACGAACCGAGCGAACGUUGUUCGGAAUCACUGGGCUUAAAGGGCGCGUAGGCGGGCUGGACAGUCCGGGGUGAAAUCCCCCCGCUCAACGGGGGAACGGCCUCGGAUACUUUCGGCCUGGAGGGGGGUAGGGGCGGGCGGAACUGUGGGUGGAGCGGUGAAAUGCGUUGAGAUCCACAGGAACUCCGGUGGCGAAGGCGGAUGUCUGGACAGUAUCUGACGCUGAGGCACGAAGGCCAGGGGGAGCGAACGGG